rnacentral:rRNA from 1 species
CCCAGACUCCUACGGGAGGCAGCAGUGAGGAAUAUUGGUCAAUGGGCUUACGCCUGAACCAGCCAAGUCGCGUGAGGGAAGACUGCCCUAUGGGUUGUAAACCUCUUUUGUCGGGGAGCAACGAGGCCACGUGUGGCCGAAGUGAGAGUACCCGAAGAAAAAGCAUCGGCUAACUCCGUGCCAGCAGCCGCGGUAAUACGGAGGAUGCGAGCGUUAUCCGGAUUUAUUGGGUUUAAAGGGUGCGUAGGCGGAACAUUAAGUCAGCGGUAAAAUCGAGGGGCUCAACCCCUUUAAGCCGUUGAAACUGGUGAUCUUGAGUGGGCGAGAAGUAUGCGGAAUGCGUGGUGUAGCGGUGAAAUGCAUAGAUAUCACGCAGAACUCCGAUUGCGAAGGCAGCAUACCGGCGCCCAACUGACGCUGAAGCACGAAAGCGUGGGUAUCGAACAGGAUUAGAUACCCCCGUAAAA